rnacentral:rRNA from 1 species
GACAGUGGGUGCAAACGUUGCUCGGAAUUAUUGGGCGUAAAGCGCGCGUAGGCGGCUACCUAAGUCGGAUGUGAAAGCCCCUGGCUUAACUGGGGAAGUGCACCCGAAACUGAGUAGCUAGAGUGCGAAAGAGGGUCGCGGAAUUCCCGGUGUAGAGGUGAAAUUCGUAGAUAUCGGGAGGAACACCGGUGGCGAAGGCGGCGACCUGGGUCGACACUGACGCUGAGGCGCGAAAGCUAGGGGAGCAAACGGG